rnacentral:lncRNA from 1 species
CCGAUAAAGCCCACUGUAGUCGAUACAGCCCACUGUAGUCUUCAUGGCCCACUAUACCUAGUAUCGGCUCACUGUAGCUGUCAUGGUCCACUGUAGCUAUCUUGGCCUACUAUAGCUAACCUCGAUCCAUUAUAGUCGAUACAGUCCACUAUAGUCGAUACGGCCCAUUGUAGUUGUCAUAACCCCCUAUAGCCAGCCUUGACCCAUUAUAGCUAGCCUUGACCCACUAUAGCCAC